AUUGAACGCUGGCGGCAGGCUUAACACAUGCAAGUCGAGCGGAGAGAGGUAGCUUGCUACUGAUCUUAGCGGCGGACGGGUGAGUAAUGCUUAGGAAUCUGCCUAUUAGGGGGGGACAACAUUUCGAAAGGAAUGCUAAUACCGCAUACGUCAUACGGGAGAAAGCAGGGGAUCUUCGGACCUUGCGCUAAUAGAUGAGCCUAAGGCGGAUUAGCUAGUUGGUGGGGUAACGGCCUACCAAGGCGACGAUCUGUAGCGGGUAUGCGAGGAUGCACCGCCACACUGGGAAUGAGACACGGCCCAGACUCCUACGGGAGGCAGCAGUGGGGAAUAUUGGACAAUGGGCGCAAGCCUGAUCCAGCCAUGCCGCGUGUGUGAAGAAGGCCUUAUGGUUGUAAAGCACUUUAAGCGAGGAGGAGGCUACUUUAGUUAAUACCUAGAGAUAGUGGACGUUACUCGCAGAAGAAGCACCGGCUAACUCUGUGCCAGCCGCCGCAGUAACAC
rnacentral:rRNA from 1 species